rnacentral:lncRNA from 1 species
GGAGGCGAUAUUCCUAGGAUAUUCACCCCCGGGGGCGAUAUUCCUAGGAAUAUCGCCACGUUUUGAGGGGGGGGGGCGAAUUUCCUGGGGGGGCGACCUUUUUAAAAAUUCUAUCUUGCCCCCCCAAAAUUUGAGUUUGCCCCUCAAAUGCCCCCCCAAAUUUGGAAGCCUGGCGCCGCCACUGCCACCUCUAUAAUAUGGAUACCCCUUUAAUAGGAACAUCUUUCAACAUGAGCUCAACCUUUGAAUUUACUAUAUGAGUAAAUUUUUAAACACGUCCGAUUUUAUCAUUAUGAUAAACUCGCGGCACAUUUUGAAUUUAUCAAUAGAGUUAAUCAUAAAACCACAAGCAUUAGUCAAGACUCCUUGUUAUAAAUGUAAUGGCACUAAAGAUCUUUAAGAUUUUCAAAAAAAUAGUUUUUAAAAAAGUUUUGAAAGUUUAAAAAGUUAGAUUUUCAAAAUAGUUAAAAAAGUUAGGGGUUGGGGGUUGGGGUUAGGGUUAGUGUUAGGUGCCGCGAAUUUAUUAUUAUGAUAAAUUCAAAAUGAGCCGCGAAUUUAUCAUAAAUCAAAAUUCGGACGUGUUUAAGAAUUUACUCAUAUAGUAAAUUCAAAGGUGCAUGGAGCUCAUGCUGCAUCUUCCUAAUACGGACACCUCUCUAAUAUACACACCCCUCUAAUGCAGACAUCUCUUCAAUACUGACACCUCUUUAGAUAUACAGACGUUCUCUAAUACGGUCACCUCCCUAAUACAGACACCUUUCCAAUACGGAUACCUCUCAAAAAUGGACAUCUCCCUAUUAUACACACCUUUCUAGUUUCUAAUACGUACACCUCUCCGAUAAGAUAACUGUCCUUCCUUUUAAAAUUCACCCGAAUUUGCUUUAACCUAACAAAACCCAUGCACCUAUUGCAUGUUAUUUGCCAUAAAAAGUACAUAAAAUCAUAUACCGUUUUAACUCCAUAAAAGCCCUUUACAAUAACAAGACAAAAUGAUACAAAAGGGAUACAGCCAAGCCAGUCCAAAUCACCGAAACGAGUCGCUAUAACUAAGGUGUCAUAGCCUACUUUUGAUUCGGAAUAAUGUAUUAUCAUUAUAUAUGGCGCAUGCAUGCAUUUAAAUGUCGCGAUUCUUCUCUCGAGUAUUUCGGUUCAUGGGCACAGAUCACGGUACACCUUUGCCAGCUGAGUAAAUCUCCGGAGAUUAUGUAUGCAAAUCACUCUUGUAUAUUGUAGUAUCUAUGAAUUUAAAAUCGUCCAUAGCUUAAUUAUGUUGGGACAGCUGCGUUGCCCAAUCUGAAGUUGAAUAAUUGUGCCAUAUGAGCCUAUAAAUAACGGUGUUCAUCUGUGUAAUCAUUGCGAACGAAAACGUGAAACUGUUCUAAUCUUUUCAAUAUUGUUCAAGGCUAAAGUCUCUUGACUAGAUUUUCAACACCCUAAAUUAAGAAGUUCACACAAUUGGUUAAAGGACCGUCUGCGUUUAAACAAUUUAUAAGGUAAGAAAGAGAAUUUCCUAUAAAUAACAUUUCUUUAAUUAUUUGGCAAAAAAUAAAUAUCUAACGGUUUAAAACGUUUUUUAAUUGCAGCCGGAACAACUAUGAGGACCUUUGUAUUGGUGCUAUUUAUAUUGUCUUUAUCGACUUAUCUUAGUUUGGGCACUCAGACAGGUAUAAAUUUAAAGAUUCGUUUUUAAGUUGAUAAAAUCGAAACGGGCUCAAAUUCAGGAUGGUAAAUCAAUUUAUUUUUUUAAUAAUGAAAGUGCGCGGAUUAGAAUCAUGUUGUAGACGUUUAACUCGGCUAUUACCAGAAGUUUUCAAAUGGAAUAUUUCAAAACAAGAUGGAUAAAAGUUGUAAAAUUAGGCUUGUGGGAUAUCUCACUCUAUAGAACUAAAUGUUGAAGGGUUCUUGUAGAUGAAAAUCUCGAGUGUAAAUUUUAUACAUUUUAGACCUACCCAUAUGAGCAGCUUUGAAAAGUGCAAACAUAGACCCUGUACAACUAUAGAUUCUCUACAACUAUAUACCCUCUACAACUAUAUACCCUCUACAAAUAUAGAUCUUCUACAACGUACUAUAUGGGCCCUCUAAAACUAUAGAUCCGUUACAAGUAUAGAUCCUCUACAAAUAUAGAUCCUCUACAAAUAUAGAUCCUCUAACAACUAUAGGUCCUCUAAAAUUAUAGAUCCUUUACAAGCAUAGAUCCU